CUACAUAACUCUGAAAUAUUAUUCACAAAUUUAGAAAUAUUUGUUUCUUUUUUUCCUUCUCGUUUUAAUUGUUUUUUUUUCUUCUUUUAAACGUUUAAGUUG
rnacentral:ribozyme from 13 species